rnacentral:rRNA from 1 species
GACGAACGCUGGCGGCGUGCUUAACACAUGCAAGUCGAGCGGUAAGGCCCUUUCGGGGGUACGACGAGCGGCGAACGGGUGAGUAACACGUGGGUGACCUGCCUUUAGCUCUGGGAUAAGCCUGGGAAACUGGGUCUAAUACCGGAUAUGACUCCGCGGUGCAUGCUGUGGGGUGGAAAGCCUUGUGCGGCUGGAGAUGGGCCCGCGGCCUAUCAGCUUGUUGGUGGGGUGAGGCCUACCAAGGCGACGACGGGUAGCCGGCCUGAGAGGGCGACCGGCCACACUGGGACUGAGACAUGGCCCAGACUCCUACGGGAGGGCAGCAGUGGGGGAAUCUUGCGCAAUGGGCGAAAGCCUGACGCAGCGACGCCGCGUGAGGGAUGACGGCCU